rnacentral:rRNA from 1 species
AGUGAACGCUGGCGGUAGGCCUAACACAUGCAAGUCGAACGGCAGCACAGUAAGAGCUUGCUCUUACGGGUGGCGAGUGGCGGACGGGUGAGGAAUACAUCGGAAUCUACUUUUUCGUGGGGGAUAACGUAGGGAAACUUACGCUAAUACCGCAUACGACCUACGGGUGAAAGCAGGGGAUCUUCGGACCUUGCGCGAUUGAAUGAGCCGAUGUCGGAUUAGCUAGUUGGCGGGGUAAAGGCCCACCAAGGCGACGGUCCGUAGCUGGUCUGAGAGAGUGAUCAGCCACACUGGAACUGGGACACAGUCCAGACUCCUACGGGAGGCAGCAGUGGGGAAUAUUGGACAAUGGAGGCAAACCUGAUCCAGCCAUGCCGCGUGAGUGAAGAAGGCCUUCGGGUUGUAAAGCCCUUUUGUUGGGAAAGAAAAGCAGCAGGUUAAUACCCCGCUGUUCUGACGGUACCCAAAGAAUAAGCACCGGCUAACUUCGUG